GCUUUAUUUCAAGCCGGAGAUUCAACUGUUUAGGCUCAAAGGGGUUAACAAAUACUCUCUCUACUCACAGGUAAGAUAUUUUUGGAUGUAGUUGUGCUCGAAAGAAAACAAGUGCCUUGAUCAUUUCUAAUUGCUUCCACAAUUUCACAAUAAUAACAGACAAAUAAUGAAUCAAAUGAAUCAACAAAACUUAUUAGAAUCCAGCAUUUAAGUGU
rnacentral:lncRNA from 1 species